rnacentral:rRNA from 1 species
UAGGGAAUCUUCGGCAAUGGACGGAAGUCUGACCGAGCAACGCCGCGUGAGUGAAGAAGGUUUUCGGAUCGUAAAGCUCUGUUGUUAGAGAAGAACGUUGGAAGGAGUGGAAAAUCUACCAAGUGACGGUAACUAACCAGAAAGGGACGGCUAACUACGUGCCAGCAGCCGCGGUAAUACGUAGGUCACGAGCGUUGUCCGGAUUUAUUGGGCGUAAAGCGAGCGCAGGCGGUUCUUUAAGUCUGAAGUUAAAGGCAGUGGCUUAACCAUUGUACGCUUUGGAAACUGGAGGACUUGAGUGCAGAAGGGGAGAGUGGAAUUCCAUGUGUAGCGGUGAAAUGCGUAGAUAUAUGGAGGAACACCGGUGGCGAAAGCGGCUCUCUGGUCUGUAACUGACGCGGAGGCUCGAAAGCGUGGGGAGCAAACAGG